rnacentral:rRNA from 1 species
CGUGAUGCAAUGGGGGAACCCUGAUGCAGCCAUGCCGCGUGUGUGAAGAAGGCCUUCGGGUUGUAAAGCACUUUCAGCGAGGAGGAAAGGUUGGUAGCUAAUAACUGCCAGCUGUGACGUUACUCGCAGAAGAAGCACCGGCUAACUCCGUGCCAGCAGCCGCGGUAAUACGA